UACGUAGGGUGCGAGCGUUGUCCGGAAUUAUUGGGCUUAAAGAGCUCGUAGGCGGCCUGUCGCGUCGGUUGUGAAAGCCCGGGGCUUAACCCCGGGUCUGCAGUCGAUACGGGCAGGCUAGAGUUCGGUAGGGGAGAUCGGAAUUCCUGGUGUAGCGGUGAAAUGCGCAGAUAUCAGGAGGAACACCGGUGGCGAAGGCGGAUCUCUGGGCCGAUACUGACGCUGAGGAGCGAAAGCGUGGGGAGCGAACAGG
rnacentral:rRNA from 1 species